UACGUAGGGUGCAAGCGUUGUCCGGAAUUAUUGGGCGUAAAGAGCUCGUAGGCGGUCUGUCGCGUCUGCUGUGAAAACUCAGGGCUUAACCCUGAGCUUGCAGUGGGUACGGGCAGACUAGAGUGCGGUAGGGGAGACUGGAAUUCCUGGUGUAGCGGUGAAAUGCGCAGAUAUCAGGAGGAACACCGGUGGCGAAGGCGGGUCUCUGGGCAGUAACUGACGCUGGAGGAGCGGAAAAGCCGUGGGGAGCGAACAGG
rnacentral:rRNA from 1 species